rnacentral:rRNA from 1 species
UACGUAGGGGGCAAGCGUUGUCCGGAUUUAUUGGGCGUAAAGAGCGUGUAGGCGGCCUGACAGGUCUGCUGUGAAAACUCGAGGCUCAACCUCGAGAUGUCGGUGGAAACCGUCUGGCUAGAGUCCGGAAGAGGAGAGUGGAAUUCCCGGUGUAGCGGUGAAAUGCGCAGAUAUCGGGAAGAACACCCGUGGCGAAGGCGGCUCUCUGGGACGGUACUGACGCUGAGACGCGAAAGCGUGGGGAGCGAACAGG